GGGGAAUAUUGCGCAAUGGGGGAAACCCUGACGCAGCCACGCCGCGUGAGUGAUGAAGGCCCUAGGGUCGUAAAGCUCUGUCGUGAGGGACGAAGUUCUGACGGUACCUCACAAGAAAGCGCCGGCCAACUCC
rnacentral:rRNA from 1 species